rnacentral:lncRNA from 1 species
GAUGCGUAUCGAGUAAACAUCUAUUGGCUGCUCCUAUGUGUACUUAGGGCUGAGGUUGCCAAGUUGAAUGAACAUGUGACUGUUCUCUAGAACCUCGUAGACUAGAGGGAAAGACAGGCAUGAAAACAGGCAACUAAAAUAAAAAGGAUUUAUUACAGAAGUGUGUACCAGAUGUCAACUCUAUCUAGGAUGGGGAAUGGGUUCAUUUUAUACAAAAGAAGAGGUGGUUACACGGAAUCUUUAAAAAGAAAAAAAAAGUGUGGAAAGGAAAGUGCGGAAGGGAGGGGAAGUCAUUCAAGGCUGAAAGAUGAGCAUGCGCAAAGGCAGGGCAGCGUAAAGAGUGAUCUCAGGUCUCUCAGUGGGGAUUAGCUUGGGUGUUUAAGUUUGUGCAUAAACUUCUAAGAGGAGGUUGAAGAUGGAAGGAAACUCAGAAGUGAUGGAAGGUCGCACAGCUCCUUUGCAGCAGACCCAAAUACAAAUAUACACAUUCUAUAUGAAGCUUUGAUGCCUUAGACUUCGAUGAGACCAUCUAGAAAUUUUAACUACUUCUUUGAAAACUAACUGUCCAGUUCUUCUACUGCUUCCCCACAGACCCUCCAAAGCUCAAACCAAAGAAAGGGUAAAGAACAGGUUAUUGGAAACAAGAGGUGGCAGACUGAGAUCUCCAGGGUGUUUAUGUGGUUGGGAGAAUAAAGGGUGCAAGGGAAGAUUCAGUUAAUCCACAAGGUUGUAUUACUGGGAGCAGUGGCUCAUGCCUGCCAUCCCAGCAUUUUGGGAGGCCAAAGUGGGAGGAUCCCUGGAGCUCAGGAGUUCAAGACCAGCCUGGACAACACAGUGAGACCUUGUCUCUACUACAAAUUAAAAAAAUUAGCUGGGUGUGAUGGUGCGCCCCUGUAGUUCCAGCUACUCAGCAGGCUGAGCAGGGAGGAUCACUGAGCCCAGGAGGUUGGGGCUGCAGUGAGCAGUGGUCAUGCCACUGCACUCCAGCCUGGGUGACAGAGUGAGACCCAGUGUCCAACAACAACAGCAACAAGGAGUUAUCGAGUCCUACAUGGACCUCAUGUCAGGCACUAGGAGGUCCCUGGAUAUCAGACAGCUAAAGUGAGCAGGAACAUGGUCUGCUGGGUGGGCCUGUCCAGGAUGGGGUAGCAGGCAGUGCCACAUGCUGGCGGGUGGAAAAAUGAGGGGGACUUGGCAAGGCCUAUCAAAAGUGUUACAAUUUUACUUACUUUUUAUUUCUAGAAAUUUAUUUUAAGAAAAUAAUCAUAGAUAAGUACAAAGAUUCAUCCACAAAGAUGUCGUCUUAGCAUUUUUAGAACAGCAAAAAAUGGAACUAACACGAUGCCCAGCAUGGGGAUUGAGUACACAAAUCACAAUUGAUUUAUUAUAAAUAGCCAUAUAAUAGAUAUAUAGUGGAUAUAAAAAUGUUUCAGAAGUCCUAGUAUUAUAAGAAAAUAUGUAUUGCAAAUCAGUGCAUUCACAAUCACGUAAUGAUACCCUACAAGUAAGUAAGUCACACUCAUGCAUGCACAGAUGCACACACUGGGUAGGGGGAAGCUAGAUGGAUAUAGACUGAAAUGAUAUCAAAAGUUUUAUCUGAGUGUUGGGAUUUUCAGUUAUUUUGUUAUGUAAAAUUUGUAUUUCUUCCUGAUAAAUACCAAAAUUUCUACAUUUCUACUACAAAUAGUUACUUCUUUUAAAAUUCAGGAAAUAUAUAUUAACACACAUCCUAUCUUGAACCAGUCUGGUUCAAAUUGGAAAUCAUUCAGAAAUAAUUUAUUUCUGAAAUCAAAUUAGAAAUCUUCACCUCUUUCCCAUAUUCCUUCUCUAAUUCCCUGUCCCCUUGUCCUCUUUCCUUGACUUCACUCUGUGGGAUGUCCGGUCACUCCCCUUCUUCUCUAUUUGCAGGGGCCACCGAUAUGGUCCUGGAGGGCCGCCCCUCCUCACUGCAGCCUGCCUGCUCCCCUUCUGCCUCUGUGUCCAGCUGGAGCCCAAUGCCUGCUGUUCACUUCUCUAACUUCUGCCUCCUCAGCUGUUCUAGAGCAUGGCAAAUUGUCAGUCCUCAAAAGAUACUUGCUGCACAAUGGAUAGCUCGUUUUUGGAUGGAUUGCGUUCAUCGAGCCAGCUGCCAGCAUAGAGUUGUGUUGAAAAUGGGAUCUAAUUAAACCUAAGAGCUUCUGUACAGCAAAAGAAACUAUCAACAGAGUACACAGACAACCUACAGAAUAGAAGAAAAUAUUCACAAACUAUGCAUCUGACAAAGGCCUAAUGUUCACAAUCUAUAAGGAACGUAAACAAAUCAACAAGGAAAAAACAAAUAACCCCAUAAAAAAGUGGGCAAAGGACAUGAACAAACACUUCUCAAAAGAAGAUGUAUAAGUGGUCAACAAAGAUAUGAAAAAAUGCUCAUCAUAGCUAAUCAUCGGAGAAAUGCAAAUCAAAAUGGCAAUGAGAUGCUAGCUCACACCAGUCAGUAUGGCUUUCAUUGAAAAGUCAAGAAAUAACAUAUGCUGGCAGGGCUGUGGAGAAAAGGGAACGCCUACAUACUGUUAGUGGAAAUGUAAAUUAGUUCAGCCACUGUGGAAAACAAUUUGGAGAUUUCUCAAAGAACUAAAAAUAGAACUACAGUUCGACCCAGCAGUCCUAUUACUGGGUAUGUACCGAGAGGAAAAUAAAUCGUUGUACCAAAAAGACACCGGCACCCACGUGUUCAUCACAGCACUAUUCACCAUAACAAAGACAUGGCAUCCAUCCGGAUGCCCACCAACAGUGGACUGAAUAAAUAAAAUGUGGCACAUAUACAUCAUGGAAUACCAUGCAGCCAUUAAAAAGAAUGAAAUUAUGUCCUUUGCUGGAACAUGCAUGCAGCUGGAGGCCAUUAUCCUAAGCGAACUAACUUAGGAACGGAAACCAAAUAUCACAUAUUCUUACUUAUAAGUGGGAACUAAAACAUUGAGUACUUGUGGACAUAAAGAUGGCAAAAAUAGACACUGGGAUGACUAGGGGGAGGAGGGAGGAAGGGAGGGGGGCAAGGGUUGAAAAACCAGCUGUCAGGUACUAAGCUCAGUACCUGGUGAUGGAAUCAUUCAUAGCCCAAGCCUCAGCAUCAUGU